rnacentral:rRNA from 1 species
AUUGAACGCUGGCGGCAGGCCUAACACAUGCAAGUCGAGCGAGCGGCGGACGGGUGAGUAAUGUAUGGGGAACUGCCCGAUGGAGGGGGAUAACUACUGGAAACGGUGGCUAAUACCGCAUACUAUCGGAUGUACCCAUAUGGGAUUAGCUAGUAGGUGGGGUAACGGCUCACCUAGGCGACGAUCCCUAGCUGGUCUGAGAGGAUGACCAGCCACACUGGGACUGAGCAACGGUCCAGACUCCUACGGGAGGCAGCAGUGGGGAAUAUUGCACAAGGGGCGCAAGCCUGAUGCAGCCAUGCCGCGUGUAUGAAGAAGGCCUUAGGGUUGUAAAGUACUUGCAGCGGGGAGGCGUUACUCGCAGAAGAAGCACCGGCUAACUCCGUGCCAGCAGCCGCGGUAAUAC